GACGAACGCUGGCGGCGUGCCUAAUACAUGCAAGUAGAACGCUGAGGUUUGGUGUUUACACUAGACUGAUGAGUUGCGAACGGGUGAGUAACGCGUAGGUAACCUGCCUCAUAGCGGGGGAUAACUAUUGGAAACGAUAGCUAAUACCGCAUAAGAGUAAUUAACACAUGUUAGUUAUUUAAAAGGAGCAAUUGCUUCACUGUGAGAUGGACCUGCGUUGUAUUAGCUAGUUGGUGAGGUAAAGGCUCACCAAGGCGACGAUACAAAGCCGACCUGAGAGGGUGAUCGGCCACACUGGGACUGAGACACGGCCCAGACUCCUACGGGAGGCAGCAGUAGGGAAUCUUCGGCAAUGGACGGAAGUCUGACCGAGCAACGCCGCGUGAGUGAAGAAGGUUUUCGGAUCGUAAAGCUCUGUUGUUAGAGAAGAACGUUGGUAGGAGUGGAAAAUCUACCAAGUGACGGUAACUAACCAGAAAGGGACGGCUAACUACGUGCCAGCAGCCGCGGUAAUACGUAGGUCCCGAGCGUUGUCCGGAUUUAUUGGGCGUAAAGCGAGCGCAGGCGGUUCUUUAAGUCUGAAGUUAAAGGCAGUGGCUUAACCAUUGUACGCUUUGGAAACUGGAGGACUUGAGUGCAGAAGGGGAGAGUGGAAUUCCAUGUGUAGCGGUGAAAUGCGUAGAUAUAUGGAGGAACACCGGUGGCGAAAGCGGCUCUCUGGUCUGUAACUGACGCUGAGGCUCGAAAGCGUGGGGAGCAAACAGGAUUAGAUACCCUGGUAGUCCACGCCGUAAACGAUGAGUGCUAGGUGUUAGGCCCUUUCCGGGGCUUAGUGCCGCAGCUAACGCAUUAAUCACUCCGCCU
rnacentral:rRNA from 1 species